rnacentral:tRNA from 1 species
GCAGUGAUGGUUCAAUGGUAGAAUUCUCUCCUUCCAUGCUGGAGACCCAGGUUCGAUUCCUGGCCAGUGUA